rnacentral:rRNA from 1 species
AUGGAUUGGUGCCUUCGGGAACUCUGACACAGGUGCUGCAUGGCUGUCGUCAGCUCGUGUCGUCGAGAUGUUGGGUUAAGUCCCGUAACGAGCGCAACCCUUGUCCUUAGUUACCAGCACGUUAUGGUGGGCACUCUAAGGAGACUGCCGGUGACAAACCGGAGGAAGGUGGGGAUGACGUCAAGUCAUCAUGGCCCUUACGGCCUGGGCUACACACGUGCUACAAUGGUCGGUACAAAGGGUUGCCAAGCCGCGAGGUGGAGCUAAUCCCAUAAAACCGAUCGUAGUCCGGAUCGCAGUCUGCAACUCGACUGCGUGAAGUCGGAAUCGCUAGUAAUCGUGAAUCAGAAUGUCACGGUGAAUACGUUCCCGGGCCUU